rnacentral:rRNA from 1 species
GAUGAACGCUGGCGGCGUGCCUAACACAUGCCAGUCGAGCGAACAGACGCGGAGCUUGCUCCUCUGACGUUAGCGGCGGACGGGUGAGUAACACGUGGAUAACCUACCUAUAAGACUGGGAUCAAUUCGGGAAACCGGAGCUAAUACCGGAUAAUAUAUUGAACCGCAUGGUUCAAUAGUGAAAGACGGUUUUGCUGUCACUUAUAGCUGGAUCCGCGCCGCAUUAGCUAGUUGGUAAGGUAACGGCUUACCAAGGCGACGAUGCGUAGCCGAACUGAGAGGAGGGUCGGCCCAACUGGAACGUGAACCCGGUCCAGGCUCCUGAGGGAGGCAGCAGUGGGGAAUGUGGGGCAAUGGGCGGAAGCCGGACACAGCCACGCCGCGUGAGUGAAGAAGGGCUUCGGGUCGUAAAACCCUUUUGUUAGGGAAGAACAGAUGUGGAAGUAAAUAUGCACGUCUUGACGGUACCUAAUCAAAAAGCCACGGCUAACUACGUG